AGCUCCAAUAGCGUAUAUUAAAGUUGCUGCAGUUAAAAAGCUCGUAGUUGGAUCUCGGGGUACCAGGUCUAGCCGGUAUAGCUCACGCUAAAACUGGUCUGACCCCCCAACGUGAGGUAUUCGUCGCCGGGUGCACUUCAUUGGGUGCUCGUGAGGGGCCUCGUAGUUACUGUGAAAAAAUUAGAGUGUUCAAAGCAGGCUCAUAUGUUCGGAUAGUCGUGCAUGGAAUAACUGAAUUCGUUACUGUCUCUUUUCAGUUGGUCUCGUCUACUGGUCUAAUGAUUAAGAGGGACUGCCGGGGGCAUUGGUAUGUCGGUGUUAGAGGUGAAAUUCUUGGAUCCUCGCCAGCCCAACAAAAGCGAAAGCAUUUGCCAUGAAUGUCUUCA
rnacentral:rRNA from 1 species